GUGCCAGCAGCCGCGGUAAUACGUAGGGGGCGAGCGUUGUCCGGAAUUAUUGGGCGUAAAGGGCGCGUAGGCGGUCUCUUAAGUCUGAUGUGAAAGCCCCCGGCUUAACCGGGGAGGGUCAUUGGAAACUGGGAGACUUGAGUGCAGGAGAGGGAAGCGGAAUUCCAUGUGUAGCGGUGAAAUGCGUAGAGAUAUGGAGGAACACCAGUGGCGAAGGCGGCUUCCUGGCCUGUAACUGACGCUGAGGCGCGAAAGCGUGGGGAGCAAACAGGAUUAGAAACCCUUGUAGUCC
rnacentral:rRNA from 1 species